GCUGGAUUAGUGUAGCGGCAAGCACGAUGGACUUUCAAUUCAUCAACCUGGGUUCGAAUCCCAGAUCCAGCACCA
rnacentral:tRNA from 1 species